rnacentral:tRNA from 2 species
GGCCCCGUAGCUCAGCAGGAUAGAGCAACUGAUUCCUAAUCAGUAGGCCACAGGUUCGAAUCCUGUCGGGGUCA